rnacentral:rRNA from 1 species
ACUCAAAUGAAUUGACGGGGACCCGCACAAGCGGUGGAGUAUGUGGUUUAAUUCGACGCAACGCGAAAAACCUUACCUGGGCUCGAACGACUGAAAGUAGCUCCGAUGAAAGUUGGAGUCACCUGUAAAGUCAGGAAUCAGCCGAGGUGCUGCAUGGUUGUCGUCAGCUCGUGUCGUGAGAUGUUGGGUUAAGUCCCGCAACGAGCGCAACCCUCAUUCUGUGUUGCUAACCCGCAAGGGUGCACUCUCAGGAAACUGCCCACGAUGAGUGGGAGGAAGGUGAGGAUGACGUCAAAUCACCAUGGCCCUUAUGUCCAGGGCUACACACGUACUACAAUGGCCGGUACAGAGGGCUGCAAUACCGCAAGGUGGAGCUAAUCCUAAAAACCGGCCCCAGUUCGGAUUGUGGGCUGAAAUUCGCCCACAUGAAGGUGGAAUCGCUAGUAAUCGCGAAUCAGAAGGUCGCGGUGAAUACGUUCCCGGGUCUUGUACACACCGCCCGU